rnacentral:rRNA from 1 species
AUGUCUCUUUGGAAUAAAAAUAAAGAGUCUGGCCUGCCCGGUGACAUAGUUUAACGGCUGCAGUAUCCUGACUGUGCAAAGGUAGCAUAAUAACUUGCCUUUUAAUUGGAGGAUAGAAUCAAUGGCUUGACGAGAGCAAAGCUGUCUUUUUUAUUUUUACUAGAAUUUAUUUUUUAAGUUAAAAAGCUUAAAUGUAGCUAAAAGACGAUAAGACCCUAUUGAGCUUAAAAAAAACAAAGUGGUUAUUUAUUAUCUAACUAGAUUAACGAUAACUUUGGGAAAUUUUAGUUGGGGCGACUGUGGAGUACAAGAAACCUCCGUAUUAAAAAAAUAAUUACUAUUUUUGAUCCAUAAUUUGUGAUAAGUGGAAUUAGUUACCAUAGGGAUAACAGCGCACUACUUUUAAGGAGAUCAUAUUUUUAAAAGAGGUCGCGACCUCGAUGUUGGAUUAAGGUAUACUGAAAGGCGCAGAAGCUUUUUAAGUUAGUCUGUUCGACUAUUAAAUCCUU